rnacentral:lncRNA from 1 species
CAAGAAUGAAGUCUAUAGAGUUUAUCAAUCUCCAUCCAUUCUACAAACGUGGAUUACCAUACACAGGGAAGAUGUUUUGCCACAGUGAUGACUCUCCCCUCCAAAAUGAAACAGUCUACCUAACAAUUGACAUCGACGAUGAGGAGACACACCUGUCAUUCCUCACAGAUGAGAAAGGGGAAGUCCACUUCUCACUGGAUACCACCAGCUGGAACAGCACACUGGUUUCUUUGAAGGGCACCUACUACCUUGGAAAUGACACUGAGGAGAUAUCUGAAGGUAUCGAGGAUAGCUUCCACUGA